AAAGUUCAACUAAUCCUUUACUAGUAGUAAAGGGUUAGUUGAACAAUUAUUUCUAUAAUAUAGACUAAAUGGAUUAUUUAUAGUCUUUUUUAACUUUAUAUUUUAGACAUAUGACAUGUAGUAACAUACCAUAUUAGUUUAAAUCAGUUGUAAAAUUAAAAAUGUUAACAUAUUUGUUAGGUAUAUUUAUUUAGACACAUGGCAUUUGCAUCCCACUAAUUUGCUGCUUCAGAGGCACGGCAUUUAGUGUCACAUUACACGUGGCAUGUGGUAUCCCACUACACUUGGUAUAAGCUGUCAUACUAAUUUGCUGUUUUAGACACGUGGCUUGUGAUAUCCCACUAAUUAGCUAUUUUAAACAUGUGAUAAGUGGUAUGAGACUGUAUUGAUGUAUGUGAAAUGUAUAGAGUCUUUCAGUUAUCAGAUAAUGUCAAGG